AAAUGCCCCUUCCAUCAUCGUCUCCUGUCUCCUUCUCCUUUGUUGUUUGCAGUUUAAUCACCUAUGCUUCAUCUCUCCGCUCCAUCGUCCUCAAUUCCGUCACUGUCUCCAUCUCAUGAAGAUGUCAUUAAAAUCAGAUUACAUUGGAAUUCCAUUGAUGAAUUGUGUUGGUAAGACCCAGUGACCUAUAGAAAGGUCUAUAUACCCUUCCUUCACCAUCGCUUCACUGGUAUUAAGUCUAGGAGGAGAAGAUGCUGAAGGGGACCCUGGAUGUGAGAUUGCUCCUCAUUGUAGAGACACAGGGACAUGCCACUGCGGGCUCUGUUCUUAAGAUCUAACUUUUGUGGAAACUUUUCCACGAUUAGUUGGUUCUCAAAUUACUCAUGGAGAUAGCAUUCACCAGAAGUGGAAGCAACUUAGUAUUAACUUUGUGUCUGCAUUUACCGAUACAAAUUACUUAUUCCCCCACAUGCAAUCUUCUCAUUUCUAAGCAUACUGUGGUGCACAUCGAAAUCUAUGGGGUACAGAUUUAUUCCGCCUCAACCCUUCCAUUCCGGCAUUUUACACAGCUUCCAAGAUUAAGGAGUGGUUUAGUCGGUUUGAGUACAGACACAAGUGAAGGCAUUUUGUGUCCUGGAUAGCACUCGAGGAUAUCUUUGUCCAUUGUUCAUUCUGAUAAUUAUUUAUUUUCUGCUUCAUGGAAUCAGAGAUGCAUAGCCUUGUAGUCACAGGUUGGCAAAGUUUAGAGGAGCUUUCCUUUGGAAUGGAGAUCCUUAUGCCAAAGAGGGAGCAAAAGCUAGAUGGAACACUUUCUGUCCUAAGCAGUUUGGAGGACUUGGCAUUUGAAGAUCGGAUUUGUGAAAUCAAUUUGUAGUUUAAAUUGUCUGUGGAGUAUUUUGUUGAGUUGUGGUCUGUAAGUGUUUUGUCUGGCUCUCUAGCUAUCAUCUUGACUGUAAACCAGAUGCUACUUAUGCUUGGAAGAGUUAAUUAAAAGUCAGGAACAAUUUGAAAUCCCACAUUAUACAAAUAGUGGAUAAUGGAGAUAAUAUUUCUCUUUGGUAUGAAUUCUGGCACUAUGCCGGAAUCAUUCUCGAUGAGAAUAAUUUAUGAAUCUUCUCUUCUCUUCUCUGCAGGCCAAAGGAUCGGCUGCAAUACGUAACUCUCAUUGGAAAUGCCUGCUGCUAGGUCUGAAGGGUUGGUUCCCAUACAAGCUGCAAUUUGUG